UACGAAGGGUGCAAGCGUUACUCGGAAUUACUGGGCGUAAAGCGUGCGUAGGUGGUUUGUUAAGUCUGAUGUGAAAGCCCUGGGCUCAACCUGGGAAUUGCAUUGGAUACUGGCAGGCUAGAGUGCGGGAGAGGAGAGUGGAAUUCCUGGUGUAGCGGUGAAAUGCGCAGAUAUCAGGAAGAACACCCGUGGCGAAGGCGGCUCUCUGGAACGCAACUGACGCUGAGACGCGAAAGCGUGGGGGAGCAAACAGG
rnacentral:rRNA from 1 species